rnacentral:lncRNA from 13 species
CUUGGGGUGGGGCCUGCAUGUAGGAGAUGCUGGAAGACAAUUUAUUGAAUUUAGGAAAUGAGAGUCUUGCUCUGUCUUCAGGCACCAGACUGGAGUGCAGUGGUGGGAUCUCAGCUCACUGCAACCUCUGCCUCCCGGGUUCAAGUGAUUCUCCUGUCUCAGUCUCCUGAGUAGCUGGAAUUACAGGAGCCCACCACCAUACCCAGCUGCUAUGUAAGAUGUGUCUUUCGAUUUCUGCCAUGAUUGUGAGGCCUCCCCAGCCACAUGGAGCUGUGAGUCCAUUAAACCUCUUUUUUUUAAGUAAAUUACCCAGUGUCGGGUAUGUCUUUAUCAGCAGCUUGAAAACAGAC